rnacentral:rRNA from 1 species
AACGCUAGCUACAGGCUUAACACAUGCAAGUCGAGGGGCAGCAUGAACUUAGCUUGCUAGGUUCGAUGGCGACCGGCGCACGGGUGAGUAACGCGUAUCCAACCUUCCGUUUACUCAGGGAUAGCCUUUCGAAAGAAAGAUUAAUACCUGAUGGUAUGGUAAGAUUGCAUGAUAAUACCAUUAAAGAUUUAUCGGUAAACGAUGGGGAUGCGUUCCAUUAGGUAGUAGGCGGGGUAACGGCCCACCUAGCCUUCGAUGGAUAGGGGUUCUGAGAGGAAGGUCCCCCACAUUGGAACUGAGACACGGUCCAAACUCCUACGGGAGGCAGCAGUGAGGAAUAUUGGUCAAUGGGCGAGAGCCUGAACCAGCCAAGUAGCGUGAGGGAUGAAGGUUCUAUGGAUUGUAAACUUCUUUUAUAAGGGAAUAAAUGACACUACGUGUAGUGUUUUGCAUGUACCUUAUGAAUAAGCAUCGGCUAACUCCGUGCCAGCAGCCGCGGUAAUACGGAGGAUGCGAGCGUUAUCCGGAUUUAUUGGGUUUAAAGGGAGCGUAGACGGGAUGUUAAGUCAGCUGUGAAAGUUUGGGGCUCAACCUUAAAAUUGCAGUUGAAACUGGCAUUCUUGAGUGCGGUAGAGGCAGGCGGAAUUCGUGGUGUAGCGGUGAAAUGCUUAGAUAUCACGAAGAACUCCGAUUG